UCCGUAGCCGGGUUGUUAAGUCUCCCGGGAAAUCCAACGGCUUAACCGUUGGGCGUUCGGGGGAUACUGGCAAUCUAGGGAUCGGGGGAGGUGAGAGGUACUCUAGGGGUAGGAGUGAAAUCCUGUAAUCCUUGGGGGACCACCUGUGGCGAAGGCGUCUCACCAGAACGACUCCGACGGUGAGGGACGAAAGCUGGGGGAGCAAACCGGAUUAGAUACCCGGGUAGUCCCAGCUGUAAACGAUGCGCGUUAGGUGUAUCGGUGACUACGAGUUACCGAGGUGCCGAAGGGAAACCGUGAAACGUGCCGCCUGGGAAGUACGGUCGCAAGGCUGAA
rnacentral:rRNA from 1 species